rnacentral:rRNA from 1 species
UUGCUUCUAACUAACCUAGCGGCGGACGGGUGAGUAACACGUAGGCAACCUGCCCACAAGACAGGGAUAACUACCGGAAACGGUAGCUAAUACCCGAUACAUCCUUUUCCUGCAUGGGAGAAGGAGGAAAGGCGGAGCAAUCUGUCACUUGUGGAUGGGCCUGCGGCGCAUUAGCUAGUUGGUGGGGUAAAGGCCUACCAAGGCGACGAUGCGUAGCCGACCUGAGAGGGUGAUCGGCCACACUGGGACUGAGACACGGCCCAGACUCCUACCGGAGGCAGCAGUAGGGAAUCUUCCGCAAUGGGCGAAAGCCUGACGGAGCAACGCCGCGUGAGUGAUGAAGGAUUUCGGAUCGUAAAGCUCUGUUGCCAGGGAAGAACGUCUGGUAGAGUAACUGCUACAAGAGUGACGGUACCUGAGAAGAAAGCCCCGGCUAACUACGUGCCAGCAGCCGCGGUAAUACGUAGGGGGCAAGCGUUGUCCGGAAUUAUUGGGCGUAAAGCGCGCGCAGGCGGCUCUUUAAGUCUGGUGUUUAAUCCCGAGGCUCAACUUCGGGUCGCACUGGAAACUGAGGAGCUUGAGUGCAGAAGAGGAGAGUGGAAUUCCACGUGUAGCGGUGAAUUGCGUAGAGAUGUGGAGGAACACCAGUGGCGAAGGCGACUCUCUGGGCUGUAACUGACGCUGAGGCGCGAAAGCGUGGGGAGCAAACAGGAUUAGAUACCCUGGUA